GAUGAAGAACGUAGCGAAAUGCGAUAAGUAAUGUGAAUUGCAGAAUUCAGUGAAUCAUCGAAUCUUUGAACGCACAUUGCGCCCGCCAGUAUUCUGGCGGGCAUGCCUGUUCGAGCGUCAUUUCAACCAUCAAGCCCCCGACUUGUGUUGGGGACCUGCGGCUGCCGCAGGCCCUGAAAACCAGUGGCGGGCUCGCUAGUCACUCCGAGCGUAGUAAUACAUCUCGCUCAGGGCGUGCUGCGGGUUCCGGCCGUUAAAAAGCCUUAUUUACCCAAGGUUGACCUCGGAUCAGGUAGGAAGACCCGCUGAACUUAAGCAUAUCAAUAAGCGGAGGA
rnacentral:misc_RNA from 1 species